AACAAGGUCUCCGUUGGUGAACCAGCGGAGGGAUCAUUACCGAGUUUACAACUCCCAAACCCAUGUGAACAUACCUACUGUUGCUUCGGCGGGAUUGCCCCGGGCGCCUCGUGUGCCCCGGAUCAGGCGCCCGCCUAGGAAACUUAAUUCUUGUUUUAUUUUGGAAUCUUCUGAGUAGUUUUUACAAAUAAAUAAAAACUUUCAACAACGGAUCUCUUGGUUCUGGCAUCGAUGAAGAACGCAGCGAAAUGCGAUAAGUAAUGUGAAUUGCAGAAUUCAGUGAAUCAUCGAAUCUUUGAACGCACAUUGCGCCCGCCAGUAUUCUGGCGGGCAUGCCUGUCUGAGCGUCAUUUCAACCCUCAUGCCCCUAGGGCGUGGUGUUGGGGAUCGGCCAAAGCCCGCGAGGGACGGCCGGCCCCUAAAUCUAGUGGCGGACCCGUCGUGGCCUCCUCUGCGAAGUAGUGAUAUUCCGCAUCGGAGAGCGACGAGCCCCUGCCGUUAAACCCCCAACUUCCAAGGUUGACCUCAGAUCAGGUAGGAAUACCCGCUGAACUUAAGCAUA
rnacentral:rRNA from 1 species